GCUCAUUCAUUGGCUGUAAGAGCGGUUCUUCCGACAAGAGUGAAUAAUUGGAGAGAGAGUGGGAGGGGGGCCUCGUUCUGCUGGUUGAACAGAGAAAGAGAAAACCGGAGUCACGUCCUCUUAAGAUGCCCAUGCUAGUAAAAAGCAAGUUUUCAGACAAAGGUAUGUAACAUCAGACAUAUGGGUCCAUUUAGAAGGAGGAAAAAGAAAAAGGGUCAAGAGACAAAAGGAUGCAUCAUGACCUGCACUUGAGUACCCAUGAUUUGUUUCCCAUAUGCAACCACCAAUUUCUACCUCCUUCAAACCUCUCUCAAUAUUCCAUCGUUGCCUCGCUUAUAGUAGUGUCGACAACCAUCAUUCCGUGAUUGAAGGGUACAUAUAAUGUCAUGUACCCAUAACAAGUUCUAGGACAUUGUGUGAGAUGAGUAUGGACUCUUUGCUAGUGGGAAUCUGAAUAUCGUUGGAGG